rnacentral:misc_RNA from 1 species
GAUGAAGAACGCAGCGAAAUGCGAUACUUGGUGUGAAUUGCAGAAUCCCGUGAACCAUCGAGUCUUUGAACGCAAGUUGCGCCCGAAGCCACUAGGCCGAGGGCACGCCUGCCUGGGCGUCACACGUCGUUGCCCCCCACCAUCUACUCCUUCGGGAUUGCGGGGGGCGGAUGAUGGCCUCCCGUGCGCCUAGCCGCGCGGUUGGCAUAAAUACCAAGUCCUCGGCGACGCACGCCACGACAAUCGGUGGUUGCGAAACCUCGGUUGCCCGUCGUGUGCGUUCGUCGCGCAUCGAGGGCGCGAAAAAAUGCUCGGCUCCGGCUCGGCUUUCAACGCGACCCCAGGUCAGGCGGGGUUACCCGCUGAAUUUAAGCAUAUCAAUAAGCGGAGGA